GUAGGUGGCAAGCGUUGUCCGGGAAUUAUUGGGGCGUAAAGCGCGCGCAGGGCGGUCCUUUAAGUCUGAUGUGAAAGCCCACGGCUCAACCGUGGAGGGUCAUUGGAAACUGGGGGACUUGAGUACAGAAGAGGAAAGCGGAAUUCCAAGUGUAGCGGUGAAAUGCGUAGAGAUUUGGAGGAACACCAGUGGCGAAGGCGGCUUUCUGGUCUGUAACUGACGCUGAGGCGCGAAAGCGUGGGGAGCAAACAGGAUUAGAUACCCUGGUAGUCCACGCCGUAAACGAUGAGUGCUAAGUGUUAGGGGGUUUCCGCCCCUUAGUGCUGCAGCUAACGCAUUAAGCACUCCGCCUGGGGAGUACGGCCGCAAGGCUG
rnacentral:rRNA from 1 species